rnacentral:lncRNA from 1 species
CGAUCGCGGCCGCGUCGCUCCCCGCACGACCAUCCCCCACGCGCGGAGCCUUUCGGCCCGGACACGCAUGAAGGAGGGGUCGCCAUCAGGGCGCCGACAGCGGAGCAUCGCCGAGCACGAGAUACCGCGAAGACCAAGGGACUCAUUUGGAAAGGCUACGGGCCUUGGAGGCCAAACCACACACAGCCGAGCCAAGCUCAGCACCAUCGGGCGCGGCCCCAACGCGCCAAUCCAAACCGACGGGCCAGACCGUGCCCGCU